AGGAUGAACGCUGGCGGCGUGCUUAACACAUGCAAGUCGAACGGUGAACUUGGGAGCUUGCUCUCGGGGGAUCAGUGGCGAACGGGUGAGUAACACGUGAGUAACCUGCCCUUGACUCUGGGAUAAGCACUGGAAACGGUGUCUAAUACCGGAUACGAGCUUCAGCCGCAUGGCUAGGAGCUGGAAAGAAUUUCGGUCAAGGAUGGACUCGCGGCCUAUCAGGUAGUUGGUGAGGUAAAGGCUCACCAAGCCGACGACGGGUAGCCGGCCUGAGAGGGUGACCGGCCACACUGGGACUGAGACACGGCCCAGACUCCUACGGGAGGCAGCAGUGGGGAAUAUUGCACAAUGGGCGCAAGCCUGAUGCAGCAACGCCGCGUGAGGGACGACGGCCUUCGGGUUGUAAACCUCUUUUAGUAGGGAAGAAGCGAAAGUGACGGUACCUGCAGAAAAAGCACCGGCUAACUACGUGCCAGC
rnacentral:rRNA from 1 species